rnacentral:rRNA from 1 species
GACGAACGCUGGCGGCGUGCUUAACACAUGCCAGUCGAACGAUGAAGCCUAGCUUGUUCGGUGGUUUAGUGGCGAACGGGUGAGUAAUACGUGAGUAACCUACCUUUAACUCUGGGAUAAGCCUGGUAAACUGGGUCUAAUACCGGAUACGACCAAUCUCCGCCUGGGGUGUUGGUGGAAAGCGUUAUGUAGUGGUGAUAGAUGGGCUCGCGGCCUAUCAGCUUGUUGGUGAGGUAACGGCUCACCAAGGCGACGACGGGUAGCCGGCCUGAGAGGGUGACCGGCCACACUGGGACUGAGACACGGCCCAGACUCCUACGGGAGGCAGCAGUGGGGAAUAUUGCACAAUGGGCGCAAGCCUGAUGCAGCGACGCCGCGUGAGGGAUGACGGCCUUCGGGUUGUAAACCUCUGUUAGCAGGGAAGAAGAGAAAUUGACGGUACCUGCAGAGAAAGCGCCGGCUAACUACGUG